rnacentral:rRNA from 1 species
UCCUACGGGGGGCAGCAGUGAGGAAUAUUGGUCAAUGGGCGCGAGCCUGAACCAGCCAAGUCGCGUGAGGGAUGACGGUCCUACGGAUUGUAAACCUCUUUUGCCGGGGAGCAAGCGUGCGUUCGUGAACGCGCGUCGAGAGUACCCGGAGAAAAAGCAUCGGCUAACUCCGUGCCAGCAGCCGCGGUAAUACGUAGGGUGCGAGCGUUAAUCGGAAUUACUGGGCGUAAAGGGUGUGCAGGCGGCUGAGUAAGACAGAUGUGAAAUCCCCGGGCUUAACCUGGGAACCGCAUAUGUGACUGCUU